rnacentral:rRNA from 1 species
AGGAACCUACGGGGCGCAGCAGUGAGGAAUAUUGGUCAAUGGCCGAGAGGCUGAACCAGCCAAGUCGCGUGAGGGAAGACGGCCCUACGGGUUGUACACCUCUUUUGUCGGGGAGCAAAGCGAGUCACGUGUGACUCAUUGAGAGUACCCGAAGAAAAAGCAUCGGCUAACUCCGUGCCAGCAGCCGCGGUAAUACGGAGGAUGCGAGCGUUAUCCGGAUUUAUUGGGUUUAAAGGGUGCGCAGGCGGAGGUGCAAGUCAGCGGUCAAAUUGCGGGGCUCAACCCCGUACUUCCGUUUAAACUGC